UACGAAAGGUGCAAGCGUUACUCGGAAUCACUGGGCGUAAAGCGCACGUAGGCGGAUUUGUAUGUCAAUUGUGAAAGCCCUGGGCUCAACCCAGGAAUCGCAGUUGAAACUGCAUUUCUUGAAUACCUGAGAGGGUGGGGGAAUACCUAGUGGAGAAGUGAAAUUCGUAGAGAUUAGGUGGAACACCAGAGGCGAAGGCGCCUGCCUGGCAGUGUAUUGACGCUGAGGUGCGAAAGUGCGGGGAGCAAACAGG
rnacentral:rRNA from 1 species